AGAGUUUGAUCCUGGCUCAGAAUGAACGUUGGCGGCGUGGAUUAGGCAUGCAAGUCGAACGGGUUUGGUAGCAAUACUGAACCAGUGGCGUAAGGGUGAGUAAGGCGACGGCAACCAACCCCAUGGUUGGGCAUAGCCGCGGGAAACUGCGGGUAAUUCCCAGCGAUGUUCGUACCGGGCAUCCGGUGUGAACCAAAGUUCUGGCGCCGUGGGACGGGCCGUCGUGGUAUUAGGUAGUUGGCGGGGUAAUGGCCCACCAAGCCUCUGAUGCCUACCGGGCGUGCGAGCGUGGCCCGGCACACUGGGACUGAGACACUGCCCAGACUCCUACGGGAGGCUGCAGUCGAGAAUCUUCGGCAAUGGGCGCAAGCCUGACCGAGCGACGCCGCGUGGAGGAUGAAGGCCUUCGGGUUGUAAACUCCUGUCGAGGGGGAGGAAGGCGUAAGCUUGACCUAUCCCUGGAGGAAGCACGGGCUAAGUUCGUGCCAGCAGCCGCGGUAAGACGAACCGUGCGGACGUUAUUCGGAAUCACUGGGCUUAAAGCGCGUGUAGGCGGAUGGGGACGUCGGUAGCUGAAAUCCCCCGGCUCAACCGGGGAACUGGCGCCGAAACGCCCCGUCUGGAGGGACGUAGGGGGACCUGGAACUUCCGGUGGAGCGGUGAAAUGCGUUGAGAUCGGAAGGAACGCCCGUGGCGAAAGCGAGGUCCUGGACGUUUUCUGACGCUGAGACGCGAAAGCUAGGGUAGCGAACGGGAUUAGAUACCCCGGUAGUCCUAGCUGUAAACGAUGGGCACUGGGUAGGGGGCUCGCCGAUGGGCUCUCUGCCG
rnacentral:rRNA from 1 species